rnacentral:rRNA from 1 species
GACGAACCGUGCGAACGUUGUUCGGAAUCACUGGGCUUAAGGGGCGCGUAGGCGGGUUUUCAAGUCUGUGGUGAAAGCCUCCAGCUUAACUGGAGAAGUGCCGUGGAUACUGGAGACCUCGAGGAGGGUAGGGGCAUCUGGAACAGCCGGUGGAGCGGUGAAAUGCGUUGAUAUCGGCUGGAACUCCGAUGGCGAAGGCAAGGUGCUGGACCCUCUCUGACGCUGAGGCGCGAAAGCCAGGGGAGCGAACGGG